AAAAAACCCCAAACAUUUUGGGGUUUUCCAGUGAAACGCGCGGCUGAGUUGGUUGGAGCCCACGAGACUGUAGCUGGAAAACUCCUGGGAGAAGAUACAAAGUGUCUUCAGUGAGAUGCCUUUCCCUGCCAGCCCAAAAAACAUUCGAGGUGGACUUAUAGAUCUGGUUUUUUGGAGAUAUCUGGUUUACAUCAUCUGCUUUUCAUGGACAAAGGGAUUUUUUUAUAAAACAACCAAACACCCUUUAAAGAUUUCCUUCCAAGGUGUGUUAUCCUUGGCUUCCAUGGGAUAUCCCUCAUGCUACUGCCCAG